rnacentral:rRNA from 1 species
CCUACGGGUGGCAGCAGUGAGGAAUCUUGGUCAAUGGACGAGAGUCUGAUCCAGCCAAGUAGCGUGAAGGAUGACUGCCCUAUGGGUUGUAAACUUCUUUUAUAAAGGAAUAAAACGAGGCACGUGUGCCUUUUUGCAUGUACUUUAUGUAUAAGGAUCGGCUAACUCCGUGCCAGCAGCCGCGGUAAGACGGAGGGUCCGAGCGUUAUCCGGAUUUAUUGGGUUUAAAGGGAGCGUAGAUGGGUUGUUAAGUCAGUUGUGAAAGUUUGCGGCUCAACCGUAAAAUUGCAAUUGAUACUGGCAGUCUUGAGUGCAGUUGAGGUGGGCGGAAUUCGAGGUGUAGCGGUGAAAUGCUUAGAUAUCACGAAGAACCCCGAUUGCGAAGGCAGCUUACUAAGCUGUGACUGACAUUGAUGCUCGAAAGUGUGGGUAGCAAACAGGAUUAGAUACCCCAGUAGUC